GCUGCAGAGAAUCCAGUCACCAAUCUACGCAGGCCCACAAGUUGCCUGAGGGCUUGUUGUUGGGUGGGGCCAGUCUCUAGGGUGGGCUGCCUGCCCUGGCUGAGUUGGAUUAAAUCGGUGCUCUAGCGGGUGGGGCAGACCCUGGGCUUGCAGGCCUCAGGGAGAACUCCAAUGGCGUCUGUGUCAGCACGCCCACACCAGGCCACCACAAUGGCCGCCGCCAAUGUCCCAGUCCCUGGAGAGGUCUCACCCCUCACCGAGAUGCACUCAGGGCCUAUUAGGAACAUGAUGACCUCCAGAAAGAAAAAUGCUGUGUUGGUACCCAUCACAGAUGACAGAAGAAAGAGAUAAUCUGGUGCCUUGAAGUUCAUCGCACCAGAUGAGCGACAUCCCUAAACCCCCUCUUUCCCUGCCCAUUUCCCCUAUGUAACUGCCUCAAGAUUCAUGUAUGACUUCAAGGUGGUUCCUUAGGAGACUAGUCCACCAUCUUCCGAUUGUGCUAGCUAGUCGUAAAUUUUCCUUUCUCAACAGCCGACUCAUUUGCAAUUGAUUGACGCUGGAUUGCAGAGGGCAGAACCGGCCCCUUUUUCCUCAGUUACAAUUUCUGGUGACCCAGAUAGGACCCGCCUCUGCCCAUGGCUAGUUGGCUCCUGGAAGAAUCUUGGGACUCUCCCAGCAGCUGCCGGGACGGUCUUUCUCCUGGGGACUGUCCCCUGAGUUCUGUUGACUGUGCACUGCCUCCAACGCUUCCUGGUGGCUGAAGAAAUGAAACAGGUGCUAGAAUUGUUUGUGUGUCUGUUUGUUUUUGCUUCUGGUAAGUCUACAGACUCAAUCUGAAAUUCAGUAAGUCGCCUUGGGGAUGCCCAUGAACUCUCUUCCCCUCUAUCUGAGGUCCCUUCUGUUCACAGAGGGGCCAUCUGCGUGCACAUUCGGAGUGGGAACAGUUGUAGGAAUUUCUACCCUAAAUCUGGGAACUGGUUCAUGGGUGUCUGUUUCUUUCUGUGUCUGGAUCCAUGUGUCUGUCCAUGUCUGUGUAUUGGAAUGAGGGGAACUCCGUCUGUUCUUAAGCAAAGCCCUCUGGGCCGCCUGUUGUCUAAAUGGGCUGACUUCAGCUAUGAGCCCAUAUCUAAGAAGAAGAUAGUUUUCUUUUGUAACACCACAUGGCCACAAUAUUCCAUAGACUCCAGAGAGAAAGUGGCCAAAAUGGGACAAUUUCAGUUUACCCAAACUGGUAUAUCGGCAUUUGCAGCUGGAAAAAGCUGGCUAUAACAUUAAACAACCAGUGGGGAGCCUAUUUUAAUCUUUUGAGGCUUCUAAAUAUUAUCAGGAACUUUAUUGCCUCUUUAAAAGAAACUAAUUAAAUAAUUAAACAUGCCAGGCUGUGGGAUGCCAGGGGCCCUGCUGGCGAAAUGAAACCAAAGCUGCUCUCUCGGUGAGCUUCCCCACUUCAACUCCCCAGAAAUUCCUGAUCCAAAAUUAAGCAAGUAAAAAUAAAAAUAAGUAAACUUUUGAGAUAAUUUAGAAUUGUAAUGGCCAUUCUGGGAAACCUCUGUUUCAGAUGAGUCUACCUUAAGGGUCACUCUUAAAAGAGGGGACUCACAACCUCUCAUGAUGGGAUGCAAUCUUUAAUUAAUGUACAGAAACUUCUAAAAGACAAAGUUAUUUCAAAAACAGCUUAUUUUGCUAUUUCUUACAGCAAAAGAAAAGAAUCUUUAGUAAAUAUCUUUGGCCGUCUGAGCAGAUCCACCUGCUAGAAAAAUAGUUCGGACCUAACUGUUCUUCUGAAUUUUGUACCUGAGAACUGGUUAAAAUUUUGAGGAUCUCUGUUUGGUUUUGUCUGUCUCUGUGUGUAUUUGUCUGCUGCUGGAUGGUACGGUUUCUAAGGGAACUCUAUUUAAUUGGCUUGGAGUAAACACUUUUAUAAGUUAUUUCUAAAUGUAACAGAAACUAGCCCAGAUGUCUUUCGAGUUAACAUGAUACAAAAUGAUCUUUAGAAGAGAAAAGCUUGAUGAAGUUUGUUGGUUUAAUUGAAAUAAAUAUGUUUUCAAAGUUAUCAACAUUGGAUAUGAUACAGACAUGUUAUCUCUCUUGUAAAAUUUGUCCCAAAAGUAAUAACAGAAUAAUAUCAGUUUCUGUCUGAUGUCUCGUGAGGUUUUUGUAGACAAUCUAAUUAUAAUUAUUAAGGACAGGUAAACUAAAUAGAUACGUAAAAGAUAAAAUUGUCUUAAAUAUUAGCCUCUCUUUGUUUGCCUUUAAGAUCUGUGGUUGUCGCCUUGUUUAAAUGGAUAACUAAACGUUGCAUCAUGGAAUCUAUGAUAUUAUGUUGGUAAAUGUUAUCAAUAUAGCUAUGUCUUUUAAAAUUGUAUACCAUUACUAAAACUCUGAUCGGUCCUGGUUAAUGGUCAUAAUUCUGAUUAUUAUUUUAAAAUGUUGUAUGUCACAGAAUUAACCAAAUUUCUUUGUCAAUUGCCAUUUUGGGGUCUUGUAUACACAGUUGUAUUACUUUAAUGCUUUUACAAAAUAUAUUUCCUCUUCAGAGACUCAUAGAAAGGACUCUGACACUCUAGAGUACUGGUUCCUGAUAAACUUUCAGAGCGUAAAACUAAACUGGGUAAGAAAUUAAAAAACUCUAACUAAGAAACGGAUGACUUCGUAAAACUGCUAACCGAAGAUUAAGAUCAAGAAUCAAUUACACAGGACUGAAUGAACUGAUGGGGAUGAUUAUAGUUUUUAUAAUUUUUGUUUAAAAUAUUGCUGAUUUUUUAAUGUUUUGUAUUUUCAGGUUUAAGGAAAUCUUUCUCUCUUUCUCUUAAAAAACUAUGACUUAUACCUUUGUAAGCAAAAUUGAAACAUUUAUCUUUCCCCUGAACUGAUCCCUCCAGGAUUUGAAAUCUCUUAGAAAGUGAGUAUUGCUUUCAUGGCAAUAUAGUUGUUUAUAUAAGUUCAAAAAGAAUCUGUUCUCCUUAUAGCAGGACACGAUUGGAAAGACUGGUUAUAUUACCAAGGCUUUGACUGGAACAUCAUACUUGAGAAAAAAAAAUACAUAAACUCGGAUAUGACCAGCCAGCUCUUGAGGAAUGAAGAUUGGACUUUAUGGAAUAAAGCCACUUGGAAGUGUUGGCCUGGUACCUUGUUUACAGCAUUCCCAAGCAGCAACCUUAUGGAUAAGUAAGGAAGGUCACUUAUGUGGCAGGUGCCUGGAACCUCAAUAUUUUGGGGACCUCGAGAAGAGAGGAAUUCACCCAAAUCUGUAGGUAUUGCAGGCAAAAUCUGAUGACAAGUCCUUGACUUGGCUUUGCUGGCCUCGAAAGGCCUCUAAAGUUCAAUCUGAGAUUCCUUAUAGAAAGUUCCAGCAGAGCAGAUUUCAAAGAGUCUAUAUGAUCAAUUGCUGUUCUUAUGUAAAUAAUUGGGACAAGUUUAUUGAAACUAGAUCCUUGGUAAAAAUGAGGGUGAUUUUAGGGAGAAAAAUUAUGUUUCAAUAAAAACUAUGAUACACAUUUGUGGAUACUG